rnacentral:rRNA from 1 species
AACGAACGCUGGCGGCGUGCUUAAGACAUGCAAGUCGAACGGAAAGGCCCCCUUCGGGGGGUACUCGAGUGGCGCACGGGUGAGUAACGCGUGGGUAAUCUGCCUUCGGGUCUGGGACAACCCCGGGAAACUGGGGCUAAUACCGGAUGAGACCACGGACUCUUCGGAGUCUGCGGAAAAAGAUGGCCUCUCCUUGGAAGCUAUCGCCCGUCGAUGAGCCCGCGUCCCAUUAGCUUGUUGGUGAGGUAACGGCUCACCAAGGCUUCGAUGGGUAGCUGGUCUGAGAGGAUGAUCAGCCACACUGGAACUGAGACACGGUCCAGACUCCUACGGGAGGCAGCAGUCGGGAAUUUUGGGCAAUGGGCGAAAGCCUGACCCAGCAACGCCGCGUGAGGGAUGAAGGCCCUCGGGUCGUAAACCUCUGUCGGGAGGGAAGAACGGUUGCCCUUCGAACAGGUGGGCAGCCUGACGGUACCUCCAAAGGAAGCACCGGCUAACUCCGUG